UACAGAGGUCCCAAGCGUUGUUCGGAUUCACUGGGCGUAAAGGGUGCGUAGGCGGUCGGGUAAGUCUGAUGUGAAAUCUCACAGCUUAACUGUGAAACUGCAUUGGAUACUAUCCGGCUCGAGGAAUGGAGGGGAGACUGGAAUACUUGGUGUAGCAGUGAAAUGCGUUGAUAUCCUAAGGAACACCGGUGGCGAAAGCGGCUCACUGGAUCUCUUCUGACGCUGAGGCACGAAAGCUAGGGUAGCGAACGGG
rnacentral:rRNA from 1 species